rnacentral:tRNA from 1 species
GGCAAGUUGUAGCCUUGUUUACGGGGCACUACCCCCCCCC